AAUCUAGAGUCACCCUCUUGGUAACCCAAGUACUCUAUCACAGAGCUAUUUUAGUCCGAAACUUUACCAUUCCAAUAAUAAAAUGUGUUGCAAAAGGCGGGGCCCGGGAGGGGCAUCAGAUGUACUGAGGUGUACUGAGAUAGAAAUGCCAGAAAACGUAUACAUAUGUGUACACAUGCACACAUACACGCAAGCACCUAUAUGCAGCGCUGCAACUCAAGUCAGUUGAUGCUGUCUUUCAUUAAAGCCAGGGAAGUCGAAAGCAUUCAAACGUUCUUGUCAGAGCCACUGGUAUCCUUUUAGGCUGCUGAGUAGGAGAACACGCUAGGAUAGAAUGAAACAUGUUCCUCACAGACUCGAAUUUUUCAACACUUAGUCUGAAGUUGGUGGAGGCUUGUGGAGGUUACAGAAUCUUCAGGAGGUACAGCCUUGCUGGAGGAAGUACGUCACUGGGGAGGAAGUACGUCACUGGGGGAGGAGGUACGUCACUGGCGGAGGAAGUUGCGUGUUUUUCCUGCUUACUUUUUCUCUGCUUUCUGUGUGUGGUGGAGGUGGUGGGGUCUCUCACCUUCCUCCUCUGGCCAGCUUUGGGUGCUAUGCCUGCCUCACCAUUAUGAACUCUUCCUUUAACUCAGAGCCAAAAUAAAUUCUUCCUUGCAGAA
rnacentral:lncRNA from 1 species